AUUGAACGCUGGCGGCAGGCCUAACACAUGCAAGUCGAGCGGUAGCACAGGGAGCUUGCUCCUGGGUGACGAGCGGCGGACGGGUGAGUAAUGUCUGGGAAACUGCCUGAUGGAGGGGGAUAACUACUGGAAACGGUAGCUAAUACCGCAUAACGUCGCAAGACCAAAGAGGGGGACCUUCGGGCCUCUUGCCAUCAGAUGUGCCCAGAUGGGAUUAGCUAGUAGGUGGGGUAACGGCUCACCUAGGCGACGAUCCCUAGCUGGGCUGAGAGGAUGACCAGCCACACUGGAACGGAGAAACGGUCAAGACUCCUACGGGGGGAAGCAGUGGGGAAUAUUGCACAAUGGGCGCAAGCCUGAUGCAGCCAUGCCGGGUGUAUGAAGAAGGCCUUCGGUUUGUAAAGUACUUUCAGCGGGGAGGAAGGUGUUGAGGUAAAUAACCUCAGCAAUUGACGUUACCCGCAGAAGAAGCACCGGCUAACUCCGUGCCAGCAGCCGCGGUAA
rnacentral:rRNA from 1 species